GUUCCAUAAUUAAAAAGAGAGAUAAUAUGCGAACGUAAUUGAAGAAUUGUAGAAUUUAAUGCCAUAUACGCAUACAAUUGCACUUGAAGGCACAACUUUUCACGGACGAUUUUGGAGUUGGAUUAUACAGAGGACAUUUUGUUGUAGAUUUUACACUGAUGGACAUUUGUAUUUAUAUUACAAGCCAUGUUUAACCAUUUCCACAAGAUGGCGCCCUGGAGCUGCUUUUGUUGAUCAGUACAGAGAAGAUAGUUCUUGCUAACUACUGAAGCAGCAUGUAACAGGAUCAAUCCGAUGUGUGAGCCAUACAGGCAGAUCUGAUGAAAACAUUAUUAUGUAGUGUAAAGCCUAUGAAAAUACUCGAGCAUACCAUACACCUGCUUCUCCUAAAAGGCGUAAUCAUAUUUUGUGAAGUUGUACAGCACUUGGUGGCAUACAGAGUAGUGGCGUGAAAAGCGUUUGUUUAUUUCAAAACUUCUUAUUGUCAAUUUACGCUUUACCGGGUUAGUUUUAGAAACUUUAACUGCUGUGUCAGUACAUAUGCAAUAAAAGCACAUUAUUUU